GAACAGAAGGAACUUUGGAUGUGGGAGAGAAAGACAAGUAGUAAUCUGAAAGUAGCCGAGUUAUGAUAACGAAUGGUUGUUACUGAUGCCCUGCACAGACAUAGGUCUGUAAAGUGGCAAGCAGGACUCUGCUACAACAGAGGAAAGGAUUUUGCUAUAUCUCUUGUCAGGCCCAAUGCUGCAGAGGGGAUUGCAGAUUGAAUAUAAGUGACUUGGAAAAGGAAGACGAGUUGCCGGAAACAGCUAAAAUGUCAACAGAAGACUUGACAGCUUGAGAAUAGAGGAAAAAAUGAAGCAAAGCAGACAAAAAGAACCUUACCUCCCCCACAAUAUAACAUUGGGUUGCUGAGCCAACAAAAAUCUAAAAUCAGUUUAGGAUCCUCUGUUUAACUCAUCAGAGAAAUGCACAAACUAUUAUAGAGAGGCUUGCACCUACAAAGAUUACUUAAGAAUGCGUUGACACAUUUGGAGGGGUUAACUUACCAGUUAUCAUAUACUAGAAGGCUUUUUCUAUAAAAAUGUAUGGAAGAGGUUCCUCUGAGCAUUCAACUGGGCUUUUUUGUAGGGUAUGUGU